rnacentral:sRNA from 1 species
AUCUCAGCUACUCAAGAGGCUGAAGCAGGAGAAUCACUUGAACCUGGAGGGGGCAGAGGUUGCAGGGAGCCGAGAUUGCUCCACUUCACUCCAGCCUGGGCGAAAGAGUGAAACUCCAUCUCAAAAAUAAAUAAAUAAUAGUAAUAAUAAUAAGGUACUUUGGUCUAGGAAGCCAUAUGGUUCGUCUCGAAGUAUCGUAAGGAAAAUUGGUACUAAUUUGUCUCUGAUUCAGUGUCCAAGAGUUCAGUUUCAGCUGUAGUAGGACAGGACCUUGCUGGGAACCUUCAAUUAACAGCCAUGCAACAGAAUGGAGUCCCAGCCACCCAGGAGAGGAUGCAGUGGCGUCUUUUGCUGAUGUUGGAUGGGUAGCCAAAGAAGAAGGAGAGUGUUCAGCAAGACUAAGGACAGAGGUCAGAUCAAGGCCACCCCUUCAGGAUGACCUUCUUUUCUUUGAGAAGGCCCCAAGCAGACAGAUUUCCUUACCAGACUUAUCUCAAGAAGAGCCUCAGCUGAAGACCCCAGCGCUGGCAAAGGAGGAAGCACUGCA